CGGACGGGUGCGUAACGCGUAUGCAACCUGCCUGACACAGGGGGAUAAUCCGAAGAAAUUUGGUCUAAUACCCCAUAAUACCGAUAUAGGCAUCUAUGUUGGUUGAAAGCUUUGGUGGUGUCAGAUGGGCAUGCGUUGUAUUAGCUAGUUGGUGAGGUAACGGCUCACCAAGGCGACGAUACAUGGGGGGACUGAGAGGUUAACCCCCCACACUGGUACUGAGACACGGACCAGACUCCUACGGGAGGCAGCAUG
rnacentral:rRNA from 1 species